AGCGUACACGGUGGAUGCCCUGGCAGUCAGAGGCGAUGAAGGACGUGCUAAUCUGCGAUAAGCGUCGGUAAGGUGAUAUGAACCGUUAUAACCGGCGAUUUCCGAAUGGGGAAACCCAGUGUGUUUCGACACACUAUCAUUAACUGAAUCCAUAGGUUAAUGAGGCGAACCGGGGGAACUGAAACAUCUAAGUACCCCGAGGAAAAGAAAUCAACCGAGAUUCCCCCAGUAGCGGCGAGCGAACGGGGAGCAGCCCAGAGCCUGAAUCAGUGUGUGUGUUAGUGGAAGCGUCUGGAAAGGCGCGCGAUACAGGGUGACAGCCCCGUACACAAAAAUGCACAUGCUGUGAGCUCGAUGAGUAGGGCGGGACACGUGGUAUCCUGUCUGAAUAUGGGGGGACCAUCCUCCAAGGCUAAAUACUCCUGACUGACCGAUAGUGAACCAGUACCGUGAGGGAAAGGCGAAAAGAACCCCGGCGAGGGGAGUGAAAAAGAACCUGAAACCGUGUACGUACAAGCAGUGGGAGCACGCUUAGGCGUGUGACUGCGUACCUUUUGUAUAAUGGGUCAGCGACUUAUAUUCUGUAGCAAGGUUAACCGAAUAGGGGAGCCGAAGGGAAACCGAGUCUUAACUGGGCGUUAAGUUGCAGGGUAUAGACCCGAAACCCGGUGAUCUAGCCAUGGGCAGGUUGAAGGUUGGGUAACACUAACUGGAGGACCGAACCGACUAAUGUUGAAAAAUUAGCGGAUGACUUGUGGCUGGGGGUGAAAGGCCAAUCAAACCGGGAGAUAGCUGGUUCUCCCCGAAAGCUAUUUAGGUAGCGCCUCGUGAAUUCAUCUCCGGGGGUAGAGCACUGUUUCGGCAAGGGGGUCAUCCCGACUUACCAACCCGAUGCAAACUGCGAAUACCGGAGAAUGUUAUCACGGGAGACACACGGCGGGUGCUAACGUCCGUCGUGAAGAGGGAAACAACCCAGACCGCCAGCUAAGGUCCCAAAGUCAUGGUUAAGUGGGAAACGAUGUGGGAAGGCCCAGACAGCCAGGAUGUUGGCUUAGAAGCAGCCAUCAUUUAAAGAAAGCGUAAUAGCUCACUGGUCGAGUCGGCCUGCGCGGAAGAUGUAACGGGGCUAAACCAUGCACCGAAGCUGCGGCAGCGACACUAUGUGUUGUUGGGUAGGGGAGCGUUCUGUAAGCCUGUGAAGGUGUACUGUGAGGUAUGCUGGAGGUAUCAGAAGUGCGAAUGCUGACAUAAGUAACGAUAAAGCGGGUGAAAAGCCCGCUCGCCGGAAGACCAAGGGUUCCUGUCCAACGUUAAUCGGGGCAGGGUGAGUCGACCCCUAAGGCGAGGCCGAAAGGCGUAGUCGAUGGGAAACAGGUUAAUAUUCCUGUACUUGGUGUUACUGCGAAGGGGGGACGGAGAAGGCUAUGUUGGCCGGGCGACGGUUGUCCCGGUUUAAGCGUGUAGGCUGGUUUUCCAGGCAAAUCCGGAAAAUCAAGGCUGAGGCGUGAUGACGAGGCACUACGGUGCUGAAGCAACAAAUGCCCUGCUUCCAGGAAAAGCCUCUAAGCAUCAGGUAACAUCAAAUCGUACCCCAAACCGACACAGGUGGUCAGGUAGAGAAUACCAAGGCGCUUGAGAGAACUCGGGUGAAGGAACUAGGCAAAAUGGUGCCGUAACUUCGGGAGAAGGCACGCUGAUAUGUAGGUGAAGUCCCUCGCGGAUGGAGCUGAAAUCAGUCGAAGAUACCAGCUGGCUGCAACUGUUUAUUAAAAACACAGCACUGUGCAAACACGAAAGUGGACGUAUACGGUGUGACGCCUGCCCGGUGCCGGAAGGUUAAUUGAUGGGGUUAGCCGCAAGGCGAAGCUCUUGAUCGAAGCCCCGGUAAACGGCGGCCGUAACUAUAACGGUCCUAAGGUAGCGAAAUUCCUUGUCGGGUAAGUUCCGACCUGCACGAAUGGCGUAAUGAUGGCCAGGCUGUCUCCACCCGAGACUCAGUGAAAUUGAACUCGCUGUGAAGAUGCAGUGUACCCGCGGCAAGACGGAAAGACCCCGUGAACCUUUACUAUAGCUUGACACUGAACAUUGAGCCUUGAUGUGUAGGAUAGGUGGGAGGCUUUGAAGUGUGGACGCCAGUCUGCAUGGAGCCGACCUUGAAAUACCACCCUUUAAUGUUUGAUGUUCUAACGUUGACCCGUAAUCCGGGUUGCGGACAGUGUCUGGUGGGUAGUUUGACUGGGGCGGUCUCCUCCUAAAGAGUAACGGAGGAGCACGAAGGUUGGCUAAUCCUGGUCGGACAUCAGGAGGUUAGUGCAAUGGCAUAAGCCAGCUUGACUGCGAGCGUGACGGCGCGAGCAGGUGCGAAAGCAGGUCAUAGUGAUCCGGUGGUUCUGAAUGGAAGGGCCAUCGCUCAACGGAUAAAAGGUACUCCGGGGAUAACAGGCUGAUACCGCCCAAGAGUUCAUAUCGACGGCGGUGUUUGGCACCUCGAUGUCGGCUCAUCACAUCCUGGGGCUGAAGUAGGUCCCAAGGGUAUGGCUGUUCGCCAUUUAAAGUGGUACGCGAGCUGGGUUUAGAACGUCGUGAGACAGUUCGGUCCCUAUCUGCCGUGGGCGCUGGAGAACUGAGGGGGGCUGCUCCUAGUACGAGAGGACCGGAGUGGACGCAUCACUGGUGUUCGGGUUGUCAUGCCAAUGGCACUGCCCGGUAGCUAAAUGCGGAAGAGAUAAGUGCUGAAAGCAUCUAAGCACGAAACUUGCCCCGAGAUGAGUUCUCCCUGACUCCUUGA
rnacentral:rRNA from 1 species